rnacentral:misc_RNA from 1 species
GAUGAAGAACGUAGCGAAAUGCGAUACGUAAUGUGAAUUGCAGAAUUCAGUGAAUCAUCGAAUCUUUGAACGCACAUUGCACUCCUUGGUAUUCCGAGGAGUAUGCCUGUUUCAGUAUCAUGAGCACUCUCACAUCUAACCUUUGGGUUAAAAUGUAGAAUUGGGAUGCGCCGGUUAUUAUAACGGCCCUCCUAAAAUUCAGUUCUUGGCUGCUUCCUACUACAGCAGUUUGGCCUAAUAGUUUUGAGUCUUCGAUUCAAAUCUUUGGCUAACAUUUGCUUCAGGAUGUCAGUCUUGAUAUACAGAAAUCUCAUUCAAACUUUGAUCUGAAAUCAGGUAGGGCUACCCGCUGAACUUAAGCAUAUCAAUAAGCGGAGGA